AAUGCAUCAGGUCCCCAGAGCAUAUUCUGUCCCCGACUUGAUUCCUCUAAUAAACUCCAAAGCUAGCAACAAGCUGGCAAACAACUCAGGCCACGCUCCUGCUCACCACCAUCCCUAUUCCCCAAUUCCCACCUCUGCGUGUGGGUCCCCAGGACCAAAGGCUGCAGCGUCUCCGGGAGGUACGUGCUCGCCCAUAUAUCCACAGCAGCCUUCUUCACAGUAGCUGAGGGGUACGAGCCACGCAGAUGUUCAUCGACGGGUAAGUGGAUCAUCGAAAUGUGGCCUAGCCCUACCAGGGAAUAUUAUUCAGCCCCGAAAAGGAGGGAAAUUCUGACACCGGCUACGAUGCGGAUGAACCCUGAGGACGACGUGACGCUAAGGGAGAUGAGCCAGUCCACAAAGGACAAGAACUGUGGGAGCCCACUCCCAAAAGGCAGCUAGACAGACCCACGGAGACAGAAGGAAGAUCGAUAAAUAAACAUUAAACAAUUUAUAAAUGAGGAGACGAAGGCUAGCUGGCAAGGUUAAGCUUGAAGAUACUCAUCACUGGUAGUGGAUGGUGAGGGUCCUUCCCUGUGCCUCUCUGCUCCAUUAGACUUCUACCCACCGCUCAAGUCAAGCCGGUCUGGGAGGCAGGGGACGAGGAAAGCAAACGGCACCAGACACGAACUCUCCCUGAUGGCUGAGUGGACGCAGAGGUGUAGACAGUCCCCUACGUGGCAGGUGCCUCCGGAAGGACCCAAGUGAACCCUGACCGUGCACUUGGCAGCUGGGACACCCUGCUGGCUGCUUCACCCCCACGGCUUUGUGGCGUCCUCACCUGUGUCGUCGGACGAUGCCCCGCCACCCCCAUUUUGCACAGGAGGAGGGGCCAGUCUUCACUGGCCCGGCCCUCCCUGUCUCUCCCUGCUGGCUCUGCGUUUCUCCCGGUGGACCUACCUUCCUGAUUGAGGCUGCUUUUGUUCGAUUUGAUACGAAAAUGGGUUUGCCCAGAAUGCACAGCAUCAGAGGGAAGGGGGUGCAGGGUGGCACCGCGCUCAGUGGCCAGCAGGGACCGGAUGUCGAAUUCAAAGCAGCCCGUCACUAACGAAUCCACCCACGGAAAACUUGGGAUGCGUUUAGACACCAGCGUAAGCUCCUAGCCAACGGGGCUCAAGGUUUGGUGGAGACUGAGUGGGGCUUGGAGUCUGAGAUCUGGGGGUGGGGGGGGGGGCAAGCCCUGGCCCGUUCUCUCCUGUGUGCCCUUAGGACAGCCCCUAACCUGUGACCUUUGGCUUCUUCUGCGAAUAAACGGUGACAAGAGCAUCUCUCUCUCUCUUUUUUAAUGUUUAUUUAUUUUUGAGACACAGAGAGAGAGAGAGAGAGAGACA